rnacentral:rRNA from 1 species
UACGAAGGGGGCUAGCGUUGCUCGGAAUCACUGGGCGUAAAGCGCACGUAGGCGGAUCUUUAAGUCAGAGGUGAAAUCCCAAGGCUCAACCUUGGAACUGCCUUUGAUACUGGGAAGCUUGAGUCCGGGAGAGGUGAGUGGAACUCCGAGUGUAGAGGUGAAAUGCGUAGAUAUCGGAAGGAACACCUGUGGCGAAAGCGGCUCACUGGACCAUUACUGACGCUGAUGCACGAAAGCUAGGGGAGCAAACAGG